rnacentral:rRNA from 1 species
CAGCAGCCGCGGUAAUACGUAGGUGGCGAGCGUUGUCCGGAAUUACUGGGUGUAAAGGGCGUGUAGGCGGGGCGUCAAGUCAGGUGUGAAAUUCCGAGGCUUAACUUCGGGUGUGCAUCUGAGACUGAUGUUCUUGAGUGUCGGAGAGGAAAGUGGAAUUCCCAGUGUAGCGGUGAAAUGCGUAGAGAUUGGGAGGAACACCAGUGGCGAAGGCGGCUUUCUGGACGAUAACUGACGCUGAGGCGCGAAAGCGUGGGUAGCAAACAGGAUUAGAUACCCUGGUAGUCCACGCCGUAAACGAUGGAUACUAGGUGUAGGAGGUAUCGACCCCUUCUGUGCCGGAGUUAACACAAUAAGUAUCCCACCUGGGGAGUACGGCCGCAAGGCUGAAACUCAAAGGAAUUGACGG